CACACGCAAAACCAUAAGCUUGUUUCUCUCACCCCCCACUAAAGUCAUCUGCUUACACACCAUAAUAUUGAUUUUGGAACAAAAAUUAGUUCACCCUUACCCACACCAGUCUCAUACAAUAAAUUGAAGAAGAAAUUAAAAGGGGAUCUCAUCAAGAAAAUAAUAUAAUAAUUGUUGAAAAGGGAGAAGAAAGAGAUAGUGUUUUGGUCUUGUUUUCUCCAUAAUUUCUAUCAUUUUGAUAAUGGAAAAUUUUUCGGAAGCAACCAGAAACACAAUUUCAAAAAUAAAAGACAAAAAAGGCAAACGGAAGAUGCCCGAAAAUCUAGUCUCGAUUACUUUUCAUGACCACACUUCACCAGGAUAUGAGUGGUUGCUUCCAACAUGGGUCGCAGAAGAACGCCGUCUGAAACGUCAUAUGAAGUCUGAUAGGGUAUAUAAGUAUUUCUACGACCCUGAAGGAAACCUUUAUAAAAGUGUGGGCGAGGUCAAAGCAGCAUGGGAGAAUUCUGGGCUGAUUGCGAUCGAUUGAAGAUUCAAUUUUAGAGGUUUAAAUCGAAGAUUGUCUCAUUCAAUUUUCACUACAAUGUUUGAAGGCAGAACCGUUUCAUGUGCUCUAUUUUUCCCCUUCUCAUUUAUUGGUCUUUGUUAUUUCCCUCUUUGUGAAUUGCUUCAUGGA